rnacentral:rRNA from 1 species
UGGCUCAGAACGAACGCUGGCGGCGUGCCUAACACAUGCAAGUCGCACGAGAAAGGGUAGCAAUACCUGAGUACAGUGGCGCACGGGUGAGUAACACGUGAAUUAUCUACCUCCGAGUGGGGAAUAACCUAGAGAAAUCUGGGCUAAUACCGCAUAACACUUACGAGUCAAAGCAGCAAUGCGCUUGGAGAGGAGUUCGCGGCCGAUUAGUUAGUUGGCGGGGUAAUGGCCCACCAAGACGAUGAUCGGUAUCCGGCCUGAGAGGGCGCACGGACACACUGGAACUGAAACACGGUCCAGAGUCCUACGGGAGGCAGCAGUGGG